rnacentral:rRNA from 1 species
GACCCCAGGUCAGGCGGGAUUACCCGCUGAAUUUAAGCAUAUCAUA